UUCAGUGAGGAUGUAUGUUUGUUUUUUCGUCUUGUUCUCCUGGACUCACGUGACCCGAGCAGGGUUGGGUGGCUAACAGGAGUGCAGGAUCUAAGGAAUUACACAGCGCUGGAGGCUUUCCACCCAG
ensembl:miRNA eca-mir-9076 eca-mir-9076